AUUGAACGCUGGCGGAAUGCUUUACACAUGCAAGUCGAACGGCAGCACGGACUUCGGUCUGGUGGCGAGUGGCGAACGGGUGAGUAAUGUAUCGGAACGUGCCCAGUCGUGGGGGAUAACGUAGUGAAAAUUACGCUAAUACCGCAUAUUCUCUGAGGAGGAAAGCAGGGGACCUUCGGGCCUUGCGCUAACAGAGCGGCUGAGAUCAGAUUAGCUAGUUGGUGAGGUAAAGGCUCACCAAGGCGACGAUCUGUAGCGGGUCUGAGAGGAUGAUCCGCCACACUGGAACUGAGACACGGUCCAGACUCCUACGGGAGGCAGCAGUGGGGAAUCUUGGACAAUGGGGGCAACCCUGAGCCAGGCAUGCCGCGUGAGUGAAGAAGGCCUUCGGGUUGUAAACUGCUUUUGUACGGAACGAAACGGUGAGCUCUAGUACAGUUUGCUAAUGACGGUACCGUAAGAAUAAGCACCGGCUAACUACGUGCCAGCCGCCGCAGUAA
rnacentral:rRNA from 1 species